UGCCAGCAGCCCCGGUAAUACGCAGGCAGCGUCCGUCAAUCGGAAUUACUGGGCGUAAAGCGCGCGUAGGCGGCUUUGUCAGUCGGAUGUGAAAGCCCUGGGCUUAACCUGGGAAUGGCAUUCGAUACUGCAGAGCUAGAGUAUGGUAGAGGGAAGUGGAAUUUCCGGUGUAGCGGUGAAAUGCGUAGAUAUCGGAAGGAACACCAGUGGCGAAGGCGACUUCCUGGGCCAAUACUGACGCUGAGGUGCGAAAGCGUGGGGAGCAAACAGGAUUAGAUA
rnacentral:rRNA from 1 species